GACGAACGCUGGCGGCGUGCUUAACACAUGCAAGUCGAACGGAAAGGCCCUGCUUUUGUGGGGUGCUCGAGUGGCGAACGGGUGAGUAACACGUGAGUAACCUGCCCUUGACUUUGGGAUAACUUCAGGAAACUGGGGCUAAUACCGGAUAGGAGUUCCUGCUGCAUGGUGGGGGUUGGAAAGUUUCGGCGGUUGGGGAUGGACUCGCGGCUUAUCCGCUUGUUGGUGGGGUAGUGGCUUACCAAGGCUUUGACGGGUAGCCGGCCUGAGAGGGUGACCGGCCACAUUGGGACUGAGAUACGGCCCAGACUCCUACGGGAGGCAGCAGUGGGGAAUAUUGCACAAUGGGCGGAAGCCUGAUGCAGCAACGCCGCGUGCGGGAUGACGGCCUUCGGGUUGUAAACCGCUUUCGCCUGUGACGAAGCGUGAGUGACGGUAAUGGGUAAAGAAGCACCGGCUAACUACGUG
rnacentral:rRNA from 1 species